rnacentral:rRNA from 1 species
GACGAACGCUGGCGGCGUGCCUAACACAUGCAAGUCGAACGAUAAGGUCGGGUCUAGGGUCCCCCGGCGGCGUAAGGGGGGGGAACCUGCCCUCAGGUUGGGCAUAACUUCGGGAAAGGGGUGGUAAUAGCGGACAAUGUCUGCGGACGAAUGAUUUAUUGGGGUGGGAUGGGCGCGAGUUGGAGCAGGGAGUUGGUAGGGUAAGAGCCUACGAAGGCUGCGACGGGUAGGCGGCCUGAGAGGGGGACCGGCCACACUGGGACUGAGACACGGCCCAGACGCGUACGGGAGGCAACAGUGGGGAAUAUGGGACAAUGGACGAAAGCCUGAUCUAGCAACGCCGCGUGAGGGAUGACGGCCUUCGGGUGGUAAACCUCUGUCGCCUGCGACGAAGCGAGAGUGACGGUAGCAGGUAAAGAAGCACCGGCCAACUACGUG